rnacentral:rRNA from 1 species
GACGAACGCUGGCGGCGUGCUUAACACAUGCAAGUCGAACGGUGAAGCGCCUUCCUUUUUGGUGGGUGUGGAUGAGUGGCGAACGGGUGAGUAACACGUGAGUAACCUGCCCCCUUCUUCUGGAUAACCGCAUGAAAGUGUGGCUAAUACGGGAUAUUCUGGGUCUGUCGCAUGAUGGGUCUGGGAAAGAUAUUGUUUCGGUGGGGGAUGGGCUCGCGGCCUAUCAGCUUGUUGGUGGGGUGAUGGCCUACCAAGGCGGUGACGGGUAGCCGGCCUGAGAGGGUGGACGGUCACACGGGGACUGAGACACGGCCCAGACUCCUACGGGAGGCAGCAGGGGGGAAUAUUGCACAAUGGGCGCAAGCCUGAUGCAGCGACGCCGCGUGAGGGAUGGAGGCCUUCGGGUUGUGAACCUCUUUCGCCAGUGAAGCAGGCCUGCCUCGUUUGUGGGUGGGUUGACGGUAGCUGGAGAAGAAGCGCCGGCUAACUACGUG